rnacentral:tRNA from 1 species
GCCUGGCUGGCUCAGUCAGUAAAUCAUGUGACUCUCAAUCUCAGGGUCCUGAGUUCAAACCCCAGGUUGGGCA